ACGUUCUUCCCUUGUCCUGUUUUGGUAAAGUCACUUGCUACAUUGCUAGAAAAACCACCUCUUUCAACAAAAUGUAUAAAAGCUGAAACUUUUUGCUCAACACUCAGCCAUUUUCGACUGAGAGUCUCCUGGGCUGGUGUAUACACUUAAGAAAAAAAUCUUCUUGAUUCCUGUUUAGUCUCUCCUGUUUCUUGGAGUUCUGCAACAAGUCAAACAGCUCAUGUCUCCCUUCUCUCUCACUGAAUCACCACCAUGAUUUCUGUGACUACCCUACAUGCACUGCCCGCCAACUUGGACCAAUCACCAGCCUUCUCUUGAGUCAGUCAGUAGGCCUGAAUUUGAACAAUUAUAGACUUUUAAUUGGAUCAACCCAAGGCCUGCAGCCACUUUGUAAGGAGCACUCUUUCACAUCUCUGGUGUUAGCCUAGGAGGGAGCCCUCUGGUAUGCUGAUACCCUGUGUUUCCACACAAGCAACAUUAAAAUAAACAGUAAACUAAUAACAUUUAAAUAAAAUAAGGACAAAGACUUCCCCUGCUGGUUCUGCAAAUCCGCUCAUCAUUCAUUUCUUAGAAGAGCCUGUAAAACUACUUGAGAGUUUUAUCCUGAGUAGUAUGGACAGAGGCAUCCUCUCAAAGAAAAAGCAGUAGAUACUAGAGGUUGUUAUCCCUGAAGAGCUCCAGAGACCAGCAGCCAACAAUGGUCAGUGUCAGAAAGAAGCAGCUGGAAGAGUAGAUGGACCUCCAGCAUCUCACACAAGCUGUGAUGACACAAGGCAGCAUCCCUUACUACUAGCUGAUGGCAGCAGUGAUCAGCAACAGACUGUGCCCCCUGUUGGCAUCCUGCAUUAUCCAGUGGCACCAGGACAGCUGACAGAGCUGCAUUUUUGCAGAUUGAUAAUGUCCACCUGAUUCAAGAACACCACAAUUGACUGGCUCUUUUGUGACUGAUCCAUCUUCACCUUGCUUUCAUUUGAUGGAUAACAAAAUCUAAGCAGCAGUCUCGAAGGAAAUGAGAAAUUAUCAAUGAGAGUGGUGACUGGCUUCCAGUGAGGAUUUUUCAGCUUUCUAGCAUAGACUCUUCAGCCUUCCAAACAGACCCA